GCGGCCGCACUGGCAGCCUCCGGGUGUCCGGCCGUGUCCCGAGGAAGUACAAGACCCGGGGUAUUCCCUCAACGGAUACUACACCCAUCCAUUUCAAGGCUAUGAGCACAGACAGCUCAGAUACCAGCAGCCUGGGCCAGGAUCUUCCCCCAGUAGUUUCCUGCUUAAGCAAAUAGAAUUUCUCAAGGGGCAGCUCCCAGAAGCGCCGGUGAUUGGAAAGCAGACACCGUCACUGCCACCUUCCCUCCCAGGACUCCGGCCAAGGUUUCCAGUACUACUUGCCUCCAGUACCAGAGGCAGGAACUGAGUAUCUACCAAGAUCAGGAACAAAGGAUCUUAAAGUUCCUGGAAGAGCUUGGGGAAGGGAAGGCCACCACAGCACAUGAUCUGUCUGGGAAACUUGGGACUCCGAAGAAAGAAAUCAAUCGAGUUUUAUACUCCCUGGCAAAGAAGGGCAAGCUACAGAAAGAG
rnacentral:sRNA from 1 species